rnacentral:rRNA from 1 species
UUCGGAUUGUGGGCUGAAACCCGCCCACAUGAAGUCGGAUUUGCUAGUAAUCCCGAAUCAGCAUGUCGGGGUGAAUGCGUUCCCGGGUCUUGUACACACCGCCCGUCACGCCAUGGGAGUUGGGGGGACCCAAAGCCGGUGAGCUAACCGCAAGGGGGCAGCCGUCUAAGGUAAAACCAAUGACUGGGGUGAAGUCGUAACAAGGUAGCGGUAUCGGAAGGUGCCGCUGGAUCACCUCCUUU